AUAAAGAUUGUCUGCCAUCAGGAAAUGCAUGACGUUAAGCAGUAUCAAGCACUUCUGUUCACUGUGGUUUAGGACAUAAUAAAUAUCGAGGAAAGAAAGAAUAUGAAUUUCCAUCUUUCAGGCAAAACACUGAAGGGAAGUCCUUGUAUGGCCUCUGUGAGGAGUGAGAAGAAUUCUUCAAUGAAGUCCCAGUCUGAAAGUGGUUUGUAUGUGCCACAGUGCCUGGUCACUCUGCCUGCUGACUCGUCCAGUCAUCAGGUUGCAGGAUGUGCUCAAAGACCUGCAAAUGAGGAGGCUGAAAAAUUUCUUCUUUUGAAGAGUGAGCAUGCUGCAGAUAUUUUUUGUGUUGCAACAAGCAAGUAAACUGCGGACAGCCCUGCCCCUGUGGAGAUGAGUGGAAAUAUUUGCAUUAGCUUCUGUGAGAAGUGGAAUUUUUUUCCUUGUGAGAAGCUGAGGCAGCUAUUGAAAAUAAGAUUGACCUCCAGAUCAGAGUGUAACUUAGAUGUUCUGUGCGACUUUAUCGCCAUCUGCUUUGAGUUCUGUUCACGCUGCAGAAGGUCACAGACUGAGACAGAGUAGAUCUUGGAGAUGCCCUGCUGUCCUGUGAAGGAAAGCGUGAGGCAUGGGAGCUGCAAGGUGGCUGUGCUACCAACGGGAUGCGGAUAUAACCAUGGGAGUUACUUAUCCAGAGAUCAUGAGUUGACACCAUGCAAGGAAGGACUCAGUGCCCCCAAAAUGCAGGCUGUGUAAUGAAAAUACAUCAUUAGGCAAGAAAAAAAGCUUCAAAGUCUCACCAAUGUCUUUGUAACAGCCUGGUAAUGAUUGCAUCCACACUGAGAUAAUGAAGAAUUCUAAGGAGUCUGAAAACCUAUGGGGCAAGAAGUGAAUCUGUAAUUGAUUGGAUACCAGUGUGAGGUCAAAACAAAAUUAAACAUGCUGUAUAAGUAAAGAAAAGGAAAUAAUCUUUAAAAUAUUCUUUUCCAUUGUGCUGGAGGAUGAAUGAAUUACCUGUGAGCCAUCUUUUAGCUGGUGAAAGAAUAGAAAAACUAAAUUAGGCAUGGGUACAGACAGCACUUAAUCCUACGAGUAUUUUUAAUCUUCUGAGCUACAGUUUGCUGCAUAUAAAGGAUGAAAAAAGACAACAUGGAAUUAUAUUGGAGGACAGCAUACGUGGGUUUAAAAAAGUGGAAAAAAAAUAAGACUUCUGUGCUUUGUGUUGCCUCUUUCCCAGUUCCCGGAUGGCAGCACAUGACCCUCAGCUUCUGUUGACUUCUCAGAAGUGUGACAAAAACUGUUCAGUAUCUUUAAUACACAAAGCAGAUGUUAAAAUGUGUCACAAAAUGGCACUCAGAAAUGGGCUUUGUGUCUGGAAAUGUAUUCAUGAAGUCCAGGGAGCCGUGGUGGAGAAAGAGAAAAGGUUGGGGAAAAAAGUGAAUGUAUCCUACUUGGUACAUUAAAGUAACUCCCAAUUUUCUUGAAUUCUAUUCAGUACAUUCCACUGAGAGCCCAGCUGGUGAGAAUGCUUUUAUUUCAGAUAUUUCAAAAGAAU
rnacentral:lncRNA from 7 species